UACCAGCUCUUCGAGUGGUGUGGAUGUUUAUUGGGCCUAAAGCAUCCGUAGCUGGCUGGGCAAGUCCCCUGUUAAAUCCACCGAUUUAAUCGUUGGAGUGCGGGGGAUACUGUUCGGCUAGGGGACGGGAGAGGCAGACGGUAUUUUCGGGGUAGGGGUGAAAUCCUAUAAUCCCGGGAAGACCACCAGUGGCGAAGGCUGUCUGCUAGAACGCGCCCGACGGUGAGGGAUGAAAGCUGGGGGAGCGAACCGGAUUAGAUACCCGGGUAGUCCCAGCUGUAAACGAUGCAGGCUAGGUGUUUGGGCGGCCACGUGCCGCUCUAGUGCCGCAGGGAAGCCGUUAAGCCUGCCGCCUGGGGAGUACGGCCGCAAGGCUGAAACUUAAAGGAAUUGGCGGGGGAGCACCACAAGGGGUGAAGCUUGCGGUUU
rnacentral:rRNA from 1 species